AGGACAUACAGAUUUCUAUGGCAUAAGGCACAAAAACCGCCUAUGAAGUGAUGCUGUGGUGUCUUCAUUUUCUUGUUUUUAAGAACUUAAAGCAACUAGUUCUUCUAUCCAUUGUCCUUAUACCUGUAUGUGUGGGCGGAGGCCCAAGAAUCUAUCACUUCCUUGAAUUCACUGAGUGUGCAGGAGGAAUGUCAGAGAGUGGAAGAAGAGAUCAAAUGAAGAGAGGGCAUGGCAUAGAUUUGAUCUUCCAACAGAGAACAGAAGAAAGGUUUCCUAGUAUGGCAGUCCAUUCUGGCAUGGAACUGAGUACCAUGGAAAGAUUCAAACUGAGCUUUGGAAAUGAAGAAUUGAGAGAACUUGGGAAGGUUUGGGAAGGACAUGGCCAAAAUGAGCAACAGCUUGGGGGAGAAAAAAGACACCUUUUCCUGCUGGAGGAAAAAUGGAAGAAAUUAUUCACUGGAUGGCACGUUCCAACGAGGCCAGGGGCUGCAUCUUCCAUCCUCCCUCAGUGGCCUCCUCCUCUUUCUUUCUGCUCCCCAGCUGGGAACACAGUGUAUUCUUCUCAGUCUGUUGCUCAUUUUAGUCUGAAAAGGAAAAAGCCAAGGGAGUGGAACCAAUGACAACCGCCAAGAAUCCUGCAUGAGGAAUCAGAGGAAAGUGGAGAUGAAAAGAGGUUUCACGCUCCACAAUAUCAGAACAAGAAGAAAAAUUCUAGAAUGCACUUGAAAAGUAACUGUCUUUGUCUGAAACAGGUGUGAGACACUUGAACAUGCUACCAAAAAUGCGAAGCCUCUUUCUUUGGAGACCUCAAAAAGAAGGCUCAGGCGCCAACAUUUUGAAAGGGUAGAUUGCACCCCUAUACUCCCGGGGCGACAUCUCAAUGUAACUGAAAAGCCAGUGACGCCUGUGACUUUGCUGAUGUCAAAAGGCUAAUUCCAACAUGACUUCACGAGCUAAAACGGCUUCUCCAUCCAUGGCAAGUUUUGCGAGCACCCCGAGGAUUCCAGCGACGUGGUUAAGCCGCCGGGAAGACCAGGGAGAGCUUUUCCAAUAUCAUCCGAGGCUUUGUGAGAGAGCGAAUGUCGAGCCCGUAAUAGAUGCUUUCUGAUCCUCCUCACACUGCAUCUGGCUCUCCUAAGUAUUGGUCCUAUUACGUUUUUAAAAAUAGCUCAGAAGUAAUUUGAGUGCUGAACUGGCUACAGGAUAAAAAAAACCCACCUGAAUACAUUCUAACUUCUUCCUAUCAGCCAGAGACCAAGAACCGCAGUCGCAGUUUCCUCGGAGCUAAUUUUCAGCAUUAGGGUUUAUCAGAACCUAAAUUCUGUUCUAAUAAACGAUGGAACAGCAGCCACUCUUUCAGCCACUUAUUUGGGCAACCUGGGAAUUGGCAGACGAGUUAAAAUUUUUCAUUGGUGACAACACACAGCUGUUGAGGUGCAAAGAUCUGAGACUCUAAUCAGACCAGGUUAUAUACGU
rnacentral:lncRNA from 1 species